UGCGCAGUCUCAUGAGAACACUCCCAGGACCUGCCGCCCAGCCUGGCUCUCGUCCAGCUGUGGUGCAAGGACCCUGAAACUCUCGGGCGCACAUGCUGACUGCUGCUCUAGGAGCUCAGCCAAAGCCCCGCCCUGAGGUAGGGGGAGGCUGCUGGGGGUGUCAGACCAUCAGAGACCGAGGAGCUAGACACGACCCUGGAGGCCGCUCUGUCCUCUCCAACCUUCUCUCACAGAGAAGGGAGAUUCAGAGAGGGACAGCGACUCACAGGCAGCCACACAGGAAGGGGCAGCAGUGCCGAGACCAGAGUCUGGGGCCCCCUUUUCCAGACCGUCAGAAUUCCACCCACAGCCCCAAGGAAGCCAGGGCGGCAGGGUUUGAAAAGAGCUGGGAAGAGACUCAAAACACUGGCCCAUUGCCUCCUCCCCUCUCUGCAACAUAACUGGAGCAAGGAGAUAGGGGUUCCCGUGACGGGGAGCCCCUCUUUUGCUUUUAGCUGCUUCUGGGGUCAAUACAGGGGGGCGGAGAAGGGGCAGCACGGAUCUGUUUUCCAAGGACGCACCUAGCCCAGCACCCUGGUGCCAGGCACACAGAACCCCUCCUGCAGCCCAGAUUAUUUCUGGACUUUACCGCCUGGCACUGAACAAAUACAGGCAACGAGGCAAAACAAAGACCACGGGCGUGAGCGUUGUAGAUAUGCUCAGAUACACCCAUGGUGACGCAGGGGGUAAACUGAGAUAAACAGAAGGUGCGGCUGACUCAUCAGCUUCGGCUCAGAGUUCCUCUGGGCUUUUGGGGGGGGGGGGUCCUAGGGCCGUCUCCCACGGGGCUGCUCCGUCCCCCGGGGCCCCCGUGGGGGGCAUUGCGGGCUCAGUCACAGGCACAGCCCCGCUGACAGUCUUGAACUGAGUCUGUGACUGCUAAGCUCAGCUCAGCUGGGUCUCAGGGGGGACACACGUGGGAGUGGUAUGCCCGGGAGGUCCCUCCAGGAUGCCCCCCUUCCUGGGGUCUGCUUCCCACUCCCCACCCCCCACUAACCCUAAGUGGAAGAGUGAACUUGCACGGUCUCAGGGGCUGGGGGUCACUUACGCCAGCUGGGAGUUCCUGUAUUUCUGCAUGACCCCUUGGAACAGGCCCAUGGGGCCCGAGGCAGGCGAGUUCUCAGGAGGCACAGUCGACCUGGAGGGUGCAGGGCAGGAGUGAAAGAGGGAAAAAUACUCUGCAUAAGAGAAGCGGGUCAUGGCCGGAGGCAGGAUCCAGGAUGGAGGGAUCGCAAGGGGAAAGACUGACAGACAGACACGGGGCUCUGAACCAAAGCAGAUGGCCGGGUCCUCUCUGUGUGCUGGACACAGCUGCUGUGUCUCCGGAUUAUUUUUGGCCCUUGGAGGAAGCCCUGGGAGAUUUAAAUGACCAUAUAAGACAACAAUGAGGUUAACCUCAUCCCCGCCCCCACGGCCCCCUCCCCAGCCAACCCCGCAGGACGCAGAUACGAAGCAAGGUGACAUUCUUCACCAGAGAGGAUGUGAGAAGAGUCAGCGGCAGGUCCCUGGAUGGAAGGGGCUCAGUCUCGGGCUGACCAGGCUGGGUCCCAACAGGGAUGGGCAAGAGGUUCUUGGAGGUUGUCGGGGGGACAAGGGAGCGUGGCUGGGAAGCCAAACCAGGUCUGGACUCCCGCAUCCGCCUCGCCGGGUCCUCGUUAGAGGGUCCCGCUGUCCCAGGAACACGCAGGACAGAAGUUACAGCAAAAGGCCAUCGGGGGGGGGGGGGGCAGGGCUUGGAGUCAGACGGACACAGGUUCAAAUCUAGGCUCUGGCACUCUCCGGCCCUGUGACCUCAGACCGGUUGAGCUUUCCUGGGUUUUAGUUUUUUGCAUAACCCAGUGUCGGAAGCCGUGAGGCUGGAGCGAGUGAGCUCAGCUGGGGUCCAGGCACGGGGGUGCUCGGCACACGUCUGCCACUAACUUGAUCAUGAUUUCACUUCUCCGAGCCUCAGUUUCCCCACCCCCUUGGGCUUUGGUGAGGAUGAGAGGGGUGAAAGGGGGUGUGGUGGCCACGCCACAGAUCGAAUUGAUUGGGGUGCCAGGUGCCAUGGACACUCCAGGAGGCUUGGCCUGGUUCCCCCGCACCCCUCGGGGGUGUCCCGUGGGACUAAGGACAUUGCUACGUGUGACGAGCACCCUGUGGUGUUUGCAGGUGCUAGAACUGUGACCCUGAGGAGGCCCACGCUCCUCCAAGAUAGGCCAGAACCUGCAGAUUUUGUGGAGGCAAGGCAAGGAAGCCGGCCCGCUUUGCUUUGGCCAUCUCCGCGCGGGGGGGGACCGCCAGGCCGGCCACCUUCAUUCUCCUCACUGUCACUGCCUUCCUCCGUGCUCUUCUGAAUGUUACUACUCACCUUUCCUGACCACCACCUGUGUGCUCCCAUCCAUCAGUCCUCUAGAGCGGGUACCAACGUCCUCACCCUUGACAGACGGGUAAACUGAGGCUCCGGGAGGUGGGUCACUGCCCCGGGCUCGCACGCAGCUGAGCAGAGCAGAGGCCGACUCAGGUCUGUCUGCAGAGGUCCUGAUGCCCCUGCCUCCUGCCUCUUCAUCCUGUCUCUGGCUCUAAGGGCUCUACUCUGACCGGCCCUGCGACUUUGAGCAAGCCCCCGCCCCCCUUUGUGCCUCAGUUUCCU